rnacentral:rRNA from 1 species
GAUGAACGCUGGCGGCGUGCCUAAUACAUGCAAGUCGAGCGAACAGAUAAGGAGCUUGCUCCUUUGACGUUAGCGGCGGACGGGUGAGUAACACGUGGGUAACCUAUCUAUAAGACUGGAAUAACUCCGGGAAACCGGGGCUAAUGCCGGAUAACAUGUUGAACCGCAUGGUUCUACAGUGAAAGGCGGCUUUGCUGUCACUUAUAGAUGGACCCGCGCCGUAUUAGCUAGUUGGUGAGGUAACGGCUCACCAAGGCAACGAUACGUAGCCGACCUGAGAGGGUGAUCGGCCACACUGGAACUGAGGCACGGUCCAGACUCCUACGGGAGGCAGCAGUAGGGAAUCUUCCGCAAUGGGCGAAAGCCUGACGGAGCAACGCCGCGUGAGUGAUGAAGGUCUUCGGAUCGUAAAACUCUGUUAUUAGGGAAGAACAAAUGCGUAAGUAACUGUGCGCGUCUUGACGGUACCUAAUCAGAAAGCCACGGCUAACUACGUG